rnacentral:tRNA from 1 species
GAGAGGUGGGUGAGUGGCUUAAACCAGCAGUUUGCUAAACUGCCGUACGCUUUUAUGUACCGGGGGUUCGAAUCCCCCCCUCUCC